CUGCCGAGGGGAGGUUUAAACCAACAAGAACUGCUAACUCUCGCAUCUGAGUCUA
rnacentral:tRNA from 4 species